AGAGUUUGAUCCUGGCUCAAAACGAACGCUGGCGGCGUGCUUAACACAUGCAAGUCGAACGGGACCUUCGGGUCUAGUGGCGGACGGGUGAGUAAUACAUAGGAAAUCUGCCUUUAGGUGGGGGACAACAAUCCGAAGGGGUUGCUAAUACCGCGUAAUGUCAUUAGCUGAAAUGUUAGUGAAGAAAGAUUUAUCGCUUUUAGAGGAGCCUAUGCUUGAUUAGCUAGUUGGUGGGGUAAAAGCCUACCAAGGCGACGAUCAAUAGCUGGUCUGAGAGGACGAUCACCCACACUGGGACUGAGACACGGCCCAUACUUCUACGGAAGGCAGCAGUGGGGAUUCUUCCGCAAUGGGCGCAAGCCUGACGGAGCGACGCCGCGUAUGGGAUGAAGUAUCUAGGUACGUAAACCAUUGUCAGUGGGGACGAAACAAAUGACGGUACCCACAGAGGAAGCAUCGGCUAACUACGUGCCAGCAGCCGCGGUAAUACGUAGGAUGCAAGCGUUGUUCGGAAUUACUGGGCGUAAAGAGUACGUAGGGCGGGUUUGGGUAAGUCUGAUAUUAAAGACUGGAUCUUAACUCCAGGACUGUAUCGAGAAACUGUCAGACUAGACGACUAUA
rnacentral:rRNA from 1 species